rnacentral:rRNA from 1 species
GAUUAACGCUGGCGGCGUGCAUAACACAUGCAAGUCGAACGAAGUGGCGGACGGGUGAGUAACGCGUGUGUAACCUGCCUUACACAAGGGGCUAGCCGUUGGAAACGACGAAUAAUACCCUAUGGUGUAAGCUGGACUCGCGUCUGAUUAGCUAGUUGGUUGGGUAACGGCCCACCAAGGCAACGAUCAGUAGCCGGAUUGAGGAAGUGUACGGAGACAUUGGGAGUGAGACACGGCACAGACUCUACGGGAGGCAACAGUGGGGAAUUUUGCACAAUGGGGGAAACCCUGAUGCAGCGACGCCGAGUGAUUUAGAAGGCCUUCGGGUUGUAAAAAUCUUUUGUAUGGGAAGCAGUACUAUACGAAUAAGAACCGGCUAAUUACGUGCCAGCAGCCGCGGUAAUUC